UACGUAGGGCGCAAGCGUUAUCCGGAAUUAUUGGGCGUAAAGAGCUCGUAGGCGGUGUGUCGCGUCGGCCGUGAAAACCUGGGGCUUAACUCUGGGCGUGCGGUCGAUACGGGCAUCACUGGAGUUCGGCAGGGGAGACUGGAAUUCCUGGUGUAGCGGUGAAAUGCGUAGAGAUCGUAAGGAAGACCAGUGGCGAAGGCGGGUCUCUGGACAGUUCCUGACACUGAGGCACGAAGGCCAGGGGAGCAAACGGG
rnacentral:rRNA from 1 species